rnacentral:rRNA from 1 species
AGCAUCUAUACUGUGAAACUGCGAAUGGCUCAUUAAAUCAGUUAUCGUUUAUUUGAUAGUACCUUUACCUGGAUAACCGUGGUAAUUCUAGAGCUAAUACAUGCUAAAAACCUCGACUUCGGAAGGGGUGUAUUUAUUAGAUAAAAAACCAAUGCCCUUCGGGGCUCCUUGGUGAUUCAUAAUAACUUAACGAAUCGCAUGGCCUUGCGCCGGCGAUGGUUCAUUCAAAUUUCUGCCCUAUCAACUUUCGAUUGUAAGAUAGUGGCUUACAAUGGUUUUAACGGGUAACGGGGAAUUAGGGUUCUAUUCCGGAGAGGGAGCCUGAGAAACGGCUACCACAUCCAAGGAAGGCAGCAGGCGCGCAAAUUACCCAAUCCCAAUACGGGGAGGUAGUGACAAUAAAUACUGAUACAGGGCUCUUUCGGGUCUUGUAAUUGGAAUGAGUACAAUCUAAAUCCCUUAACGAGGAACAAUUGGAGGGCAAGUCUGGUGCCAGCAGCCGCGGUAAUUCCAGCUCCAAUAGCGUAUAUUAAAGUUGUUGCAGUUAAAAAGCUCGUAGUUGAACCUUGGGCCUGACCGAUCUGUCCUCCUAAUCGAGCGCACGGAUUCGGUUGGGUCUUUCCUUCUGGGGAUCCCUAUGCCCUUCACUGGGCGUAGUGGGGAACCAGGACUUUUACCUUGAAAAAAUUAGAGUGUUCAAAGCAGGCAUUUGCUCGAAUACAUUAGCAUGGAAUAAUAGAAUAGGACAUCGGUUCUAUUUUGUUGGUUUCUAGGACCGCUGUAAUGAUUAAUAGGGAUAGUCGGGGGCGUCAGUAUUCAAUUGUCAGAGGUGAAAUUCUUGGAUUUAUUGAAGACUAACUAUUGCGAAAGCAUUCGCCAAGGAUGUUUUCAUUAAUCAGUGAACGAAAGUUAGGGGAUCGAAGACGAUCAGAUACCGUCGUAGUCUUAACCAUAAACUAUGCCGACUAGGGAUCGGACGGUGGUUUUUUAUGCCCCGUUCGGCACCUUACGAGAAAUCAAAGUUUUGGGCUCUGGGGAG